rnacentral:rRNA from 1 species
GUGGGUAGUUUGACUGGGGCGGUCUCCUCCUAAAGAGUAACGGAGGAGCACGAAGGUUAGCUAAUCCUGGUCGGACAUCAGGAGGUUAGUGCAAAGGCAUAAGCUAGCUUGACUGCGAGAGUGACGGCUCGAGCAGGUGCGAAAGCAGGUCUUAGUGAUCCGGUGGUUCUGAAUGGAAGGGCCAUCGCUCAACGGAUAAAAGGUACUCCGGGGAUAACAGGCUGAUACCGCCCAAGAGUUCAUAUCGACGGCGGUGUUUGGCACCUCGAUGUCGGCUCAUCACAUCCUGGGGCUGAAGUAGGUCCCAAGGGUAUGGCUGUUCGCCAUUUAAAGUGGUACGCGAGCUGGGUUUAGAACGUCGUGAGACAGUUCGGUCCCUAUCUGCCGUGGGCGCUGGAGAAUUGAGGGGGGCUGCUCCUAGUACGAGAGGACCGGAGUGGACGCAUCACUGGUGUUCGGGUUGUCAUGCCAAUGGCAUU